rnacentral:rRNA from 1 species
GAUGAACGCUGGCGGCGUGCCUAAUACAUGCAAGUCGAGCGAACGGACGAGAAGCUUGCUUCUCUGAUGUUUGCGGCGCACGGGUGAGUCACACGUGGAUAACCUCCCUAUAAGACUGGGAUAACUUCGGGACACCGGCGCUAAUACCGGAUAAUCUUUUGAACCGCAUGGUUCAAAAGUGAAAGACGGUCUUUCUGUCUCUUCUAGCUGGAUCCGGGCUGCAUUAUCUAGUUGGUAAGGUAACGGCUUACCAAGGCAACGAUGCAUAGCCGACCUGAGAGGGGGAUCGGCGACACUGGAACUGAGACACGGUCCAGACUCCUACGGGAGGCAGCAGUAGGGAAUCUGCCGCAAUGGGCGAAAGCCUGACGGAGCAACGCCGAGUGAGUGAUGAAGGUCUUCGGAUCGUAAAACUCUGUUAUUAGGGAAGAACAUAUGUGUAAGUAACUGUGCACAUCUUGACGGUACCUAAUCAGAAAGCCACGGCUAACUACGUG